GAUGAACGCUGGCGGCGUGCCUAAUACAUGCAAGUCGAGCGAACGGACCAGAAGCUUGCUCCUCUGAUGUUAUCGGCGGACGGGUUAGUAACACGUGGAUAACCUACCUAUAAGACUUGGAUAACUUCGGGAAACCGGAUCUAAUACCGGAUAAUUUUUUGAACCGCAUUGUUCCAAAGUGAAAUUCGGUCUUUCUGUCACUUAUAGAUUGAUCCGCGCUGCAUUAGAUAGUGGGUAAGGUAACGGCUUACCAAGGCAACGAGGCAUAGCCGACCUGAGAGGGUGAUCGGCCACACUGGAAGUGAGACACGGUACAGACUCCUACAGGAGGCAGCAGUAGAGAAUCUUACGCGAGGGGCGAGAGCGGGACGGAGCAAAGCCGCGUGAGGGAUGAAGGACUACGGAUGGGAAAGCGCUGUUAGUAGGAAAGAACAAAUGUGUAAGUAACUGUGAACAUAUUGACGGUACCGAAUGAGAAAGCCACGGCUAACUACGUG
rnacentral:rRNA from 1 species